UUGAACGCUGGCGGCAGGCCUAACACAUGCAAGUCGAACGGUAACAGGAAGCAGCUUGCUGCUUCGCUGACGAGUGGCGGACGGGUGAGUAAUGUCUGGGAAACUGCCUGAUGGAGGGGGAUAACUACUGGAAACGGUAGCUAAUACCGCAUAAUGUCGCAAGACCAAAGAGGGGGACCUUCGGGCCUCUUGCCAUCGGAUGUGCCCAGAUGGGAUUAGCUUGUUGGUGGGGUAACGGCUCACCAAGGCGACGAUCCCUAGCUGGUCUGAGAGGAUGACCAGCCACACUGGAACUGAGACACGGUCCAGACUCCUACGGGAGGCAGCAGUGGGGAAUAUUGCACAAUGGGCGCAAGCCUGAUGCAGCCAUGCCGCGUGUAUGAAGAAGGCCUUCGGGUUGUAAAGUACUUUCAGCGGGGAGGAAGGGAGUAAAGUUAAUAUCUUUGCUCAUUGACGUUACCCGCAGAAGAAGCACCGGCUAACUCCGUGCCAGCAGCCGCGGUAAUACGGAGGGUGCAAGCGUUAAUCGGAAUUACUGGGCGUAAAGCGCACGCAGGCGGUUUGUUAAGUCAGAUGUGAAAUCCCCGGGCUCAACCUGGGAACUGCAUCUGAUACUGGCAAGCUUGAGUCUCGUAGAGGGGGGUAGAAUUCCAGGUGUAGCGGUGAAAUGCGUAGAGAUCUGGAGGAAUACCGGUGGCGAAGGCGGCCCCCUGGACGAAGACUGACGCUCAGGUGCGAAAGCGUGGGGAGCAAACAGGAUUAGAUACCCUGGUAGUCCACGCCGUAAACUAUGUCGACUUGGAGGUUGUGCCCUUGAGGCGUGGCUUCCGGAGCUAACGCGUUAAGUCGACCGCCUGGGGAGUACGGCCGCAAGGUUAAAACUCAAAUGAAUUGACGGGGGCCCGCACAAGCGGUGGAGCAUGUGGUUUAAUUCGAUGCAACGCGAAGAACCUUACCUGGUCUUGACAUCCACGGAAGUUUUCAGAGAUGAGAAUGUGCCUUCGGGAACCGUGAGACAGGUGCUGCAUGGCUGUCGUCAGCUCGUGUUGUGAAAUGUUGGGUUAAGUCCCGCAACGAGCGCAACCCUUAUCCUUUGUUGCCAGCGGUCCGGCCGGGAACUCAAAGGAGACUGCCAGUGAUAAACUGGAGGAAGGUGGGGAUGACGUCAAGUCAUCAUGGCCCUUACGACCAGGGCUACACACGUGCUACAAUGGCGCAUACAAAGAGAAGCGACCUCGCGAGAGCAAGCGGACCUCAUAAAGUGCGUCGUAGUCCGGAUUGGAGUCUGCAACUCGACUCCAUGAAGUCGGAAUCGCUAGUAAUCGUGGAUCAGAAUGCCACGGUGAAUACGUUCCCGGGCCUUGUACACAUCGCCCGUCACACCAUGGGAGUGGGUUGCAAAAGAAGUAGGUAGCUUAACCUUCGGGAGGGCGCUUACCACUUUGUGAUUCAUGACUGGGGUG
rnacentral:rRNA from 1 species